ensembl:snRNA U6 U6 spliceosomal RNA
GUGCUCGCUUUGAUAGCACAUAUACUAAAAUUGGUACAAUACGGAGAAGAUUAGCAUGGCCCCUGCACAAGGAUGUCAUGCAAAUUCAUGAAGUGUUCCAUAUUUUU